AAAGCUCAAAUUUUGAAUCUGGUGUCUUUGGCGCCCGAGUUGUAAUCUAGAGAAGUGUUUUCCGUGUCGGACCGUGUACAAGUUCCCUGGAACGGGGCGUCAUAGAGGGUGAGAAUCCCGUAUAUGCCAUGGACUACCGAUGCUCUGUGAUACACUCUCAACGAGUCGAGUUGUUUGGGAAUGCAGCUCAAAAUGGGUGGUAAAUUCCAUCUAAAGCUAAAUAUUGGCGAGAAACCGAUAGCGCA
rnacentral:rRNA from 1 species